CAGGCAUAAAAAUAUGCUCUGGAUUGUCUAGAAACGAAUUCGUUGUUUUCAUGUUCAACCAACGGUUGUAUGGGAGAGACAGAGGUUAGAGCUCUCUAUGUCUUUCCGGUUACGUCAUACGCCGUGAUGUUGACACAAGUGAAACGCGUUUUUCUUUUUGCAUUCAAUCAGUCAUUAAGUAUGUCAAUAGAUGAACGAAAACGAUUCACCGUUACAAUUCUAAGGAGUCAUACUGUACAGGAAGGCUGAUGAGAAGUGGUUAUCAGCAGAGAGGCCUCUGGUAUCUUCGGACCUGUUAUCGAGAAGGGUCUGAUGCCAGGCGUUUUGUACCCAUCUUUCUUACGUUCAUCUCAAGGCACACAAGCAGGCCAAUGGAGGCAAGAACGAUGAUACAGGCUUAGAGUUUCCACUGGCGCCGACGGCGUUUCGAUACGCAACGCUACCACCGUUAUUGAACAGCAUUAUGACGAUAGCUACGAGUGCCAUCGCACACCCUUCAAUAAGAAAAGCGCGAAAGCGCAAGAAGUAAGCCUUGUCAAGGAUUCUAUCGAAGGAAAAGUCAGUUGGACGUUCUGCGUUUAUCAUGUGGGUAUCGCCACUGAUAAUGACCAGGCGCUCACAGGACCUUGCCGCAAUCGACGAUCACACUAAGCAGCGACGUCAAAAUGACGCUCAUAAUGACGUAAGUUUGUGUUCGCUUAGGAGGAAAGAAAUCGGUAAAUGCGCAUGGUACGACAUCUGUGUGGACGGGCACAGCGGACUACAGAGGCCGAUGUUAGAUGGGUAUAUAAACGUAGGACUUACGUCAUCGAAUGACUCGUUUGUUUUGUUAGUGCAUAUCAGAAACGCUAUUCAAAUAAGCUUUUACUAAAACCCAUGAAAAGAUGAUACGAUGUUUUGGUUACCUUUGCCAUUUUACUCAGAUCACAGUUUCAUAUAGGUGUCUGUAAUGAUGAGAACGCGUUCAGGAACAGUAUCUGCAUUAAUAUUUGAGCAAUUUUAAGGACGCACGAGCCUCCCGUCUAAGGAAGACUAUGUAGUAGUGGUUCUGCGACAAAUAAAGUAAAAAUGUCAAUCAGUUUUUCUAGAGACUUUUGCUUGACACAAAUACUAAAACCCAACGAGGUUGGCAACCAUAACCCAUGCGUAAUACAUAUUUAACUCAAAGCGCUA